rnacentral:rRNA from 1 species
AUUAGCGGCUAUAGCACGUUGAAUGCUCCAGUUCCAGACGGAUCACUGAAGUUAAACAAUUUUCUCAAUGGUUGGUAUCUGGACGGGUGUCUGGGACAUCAAGUGAUGCUGCCUAUU